UACGUAGGGGGCAAGCGUUGUUCCGGAAUCAUUGGGCGUAAAGAGCGUGUAGGCGGCCCGAUAAGUCCGCCGUGAAAGCCCAGGGCUCAACCCUGGGAUGCCGGUGGAUACUGUCGGGCUAGAAUCCGGAAGAGGCGAGUGGAAUUCCUGGUGUAGCGGUGAAAUGCGCAGAUAUCAGGAGGAACACCGAUGGCGAAGGCAGCUCGCUGGGACGGUAUUGACGCUGAGACGCGAAAGCGUGGGGAGCAAACAGG
rnacentral:rRNA from 1 species